rnacentral:rRNA from 1 species
CCUACGGGAGGCAGCAGUGAGGAAUUUCCGCAAUGGGCGAAAGCCUGACGGAGCAAUACCGCGUGAGGGAUGAAGGAUUUUGGUCUGUAAACCUCUUUUCUCAAGAAAGAAGUUCUGACGGUACUUGAGGAAUAAGCAUCGGCUAACUCCGUGCCAGCAGCCGCGGUAAUACGGGGGAUGCAAGCGUUAUCCGGAAUCAUUGGGCGUAAAGCGCCUGUAGGUUGUUUAAUAAGUCUGUUGUUAAAGACUAGGGCUCAACCCUAGAAAAGCAAUGGAAACUACUAGACUAGAGUAUGGCAGGGGUAGAGGGAAUUUCUAGUGUAGCGGUGAAAUGCGUAGAUAUUAGAAAGAACACCGGUGGCGAAAGCGCUCUACUGGACCAUUACUGACACUCAGAGGCGAAAGCUAGGGUAGCAAAAGGGAUUAGAUACCCCUGUAGUCCUAGCCGUAAACGAUGGAUACUACAUGUUGUGCUUAUUGUACAGUAUGGUAGCUAACGCGUUAAGUAUCCCGCCUGGGGAGUACGCUCGCAAGGGUGAAACUCAAAGG